AUUGAACGCUGGCGGCAUGCCUAACACAUGCAAGUCGAGCGGAUGAAGGGAGCUUGCUCCUGGAUUCAGCGGCGGACGGGUGAGUAAUGCCUAGGAAUCUGCCUUGUAGUGGGGGAUAACGUCCGGACACGGGCGCGAAUACCGUAUAGGUCCUGAGGGUGAAAGGGGGGGAUCUUCGGACCUCACGCUAUCAGAUGAGCCUAGGUCGGAUUAGCUAGUUGGUGGGGUAAAGGCCUACCAAGGCAACGAUCCGUAACUGGUCUGAGAGGAUGAUCAGUCACACUGGAACUGAGACACGGUCCAGACUCCUACGGGAGGCAGCAGUGGGGAAUAUUGGACAAUGGGCGAAAGCCUGAUCCAGCCAUGCCGCGUGUGUGAAGAAGGUCUUCGGAUUGUAAAGCACUUUAAGUUGGGAGGAGGGGCAGUAAGUUAAUACCUUGCUGUUUUGACGUUACCAACAGAAUAAGCACCGGCUAACUUCGUG
rnacentral:rRNA from 1 species